rnacentral:rRNA from 1 species
UACAGAGGUGGCAAGCGUUGUUCGGAAUUACUGGGCGUAAAGGGCGCGUAGGCGGUUCGUCAAGUCCUGUGUGAAAUCCCCCGGCUCAACUGCGGAACUGCACAGGAAACUAGCGGGCUUGAGUUCGGGAGAGGGAAGCGGAAUUCCGGGUGUAGCGGUGAAAUGCGUAGAUAUCCGGAGGAACACCGGUGGCGAAGGCGGCUUCCUGGACCGACACUGACGCUGAGGCGCGAAAGCUAGGGGAGCAAACGGG